UUUGCACCAUAGCCACAUGUAGCAUGCAGCUCCCAGAGACAAAAGAUGAAAUGCAGCUUUGGGGACCAAAAAGUUCCCCAGCCCUGCUCCAUCUGAAUUGUGAUCACUAAGGUUUUAAAGGGCAAGCCAGUCUUCACUAGAAAAUCUCUUCAUACUGCCAUGAAGUUUUUGAAUAGAGCAUUUCAAUCUUGCAUAGUUUCAAGCAAUAUCAGCAGCUGUGAAUAUAUUUAAAAUAGCAGUUACUAAUGCCACUGCUGUACUAGCACUUUCAGUAUUGCUUGCACAGGAUUGAACACACCACGUUUCUACAAGGUUAGCAUGCUAUGUACUAUAUUAUGCACUUUGAGUCAUCGGGUUGUGUGUGGGUGUGACUGCAUUUAGAGUGAUUUUCAUCCUGCCUCUUAGGCUUCUGUAUCUAAGGCAAUGGAACUACACAGCUGUACAUUUUUUAAAAAAAUCACUGCCUAGUCCAACUUAGAAUUGAAAAUGCAUAAGCGAAUUGAAAGAACAUUUACCUAUGCAGACUGAAGAGUAGUUUAUCCAGCAUCGGCACCAAAUGUAUGUAGUUACUUCUGUAAAUAAAGCUGAUUGUGUAGAAACGGCAGUUUUACAUCAAUAAACCAGAUUUUAAAGUAUG